rnacentral:rRNA from 1 species
AUGAGAGGGUUCGAGAGGAGAGGCGUCCGGCAGUACAACCGGUCCGACGAGCCACGGAUGCGGUGGACGGAGGAGCUGCACCGGCAGUUCAUCGAGGCCGUCGACUGCCUCGGCGGCCAGGAUGAGGCAACACCAAAGCGAAUUCUUCAGCUGAUGGGCACAAAAGGGGUCAGCAUAUCUCACAUCAAGAGCCAUCUUCAGAUGUACAGGUCAAGCUCUAGCAACAACAACAACAAUAACCCACCCCACGCGUCAGUGAAUCGUUGCCAAGAUCACUGCAUCGAUGGCAACAACACAAGAACAAUAAACGCUCCCUCUAACGUCGUGUUUCGCCGCGGCCACCACUCGAUGUUGCCGCCGUGCCAAAUCUAUAGCUCAUUGUACAGACCAUCGAUAGAAGAGGUUUUUAGGAGCUGGGAGGAGAGUAGAAAGCGGCUGCCAUGGAACUCCACCGGCAUGCUAAUUACACCAGAGAAGGCGACCGGCUGGUCACGUCACACCGACGACAAGAUGCGCCAGAAGAAGCAGCAACCGGCAGCGGGGUGUGACCUAACGUUGUCGAUCGGCCGGUGUGGGGAGUCAGAGGCGACCAGCGACGCUGACAUCUCGAGCAUGACCACCGAGGAGGCCGCCGCACUGGCAAGGGGUCGAGGUGCCGGUUGCCACCGUCGCCGCGAGGCCGCCGCCAUUCUGCACCUUGACUUGAACCUCGACAUCGCCGUCUCAUCUUCUCGGCUCUGA